CCCCAGAAUUAUUUGGUCACAUGAAGGUGGGCCUUUGCAUCUCCAAUUAUUGCUAUGAUCUCUCUCUUUUCCAUUGUCUGUUGUGUUAAUUAAUAUUCCCUAAGAUCACAAAUAAAUGACUGCAAUCAGGGAGAGCUAUCACUUGUUGCAAUCCAAUUCUGUCCAAAACAAAAGUAACCUCGAGUUGCGGUAGGGAAGGGCAGUGGAAAGAAUUAAGAA
rnacentral:lncRNA from 1 species